rnacentral:rRNA from 1 species
CCUACGGGGAGCAGCAGUAGGGAAUUUUCGUCAAUGGGCGCAAGCCUGAACGAGCAAUGCCGCGUGAACGAGGAAGGUCUUCGGAUCGUAAAGUUCUGUUGAAGGGGAAAAAGAGCGGAGAGAGGAAAUGGUCUCCGAUUGAUAUUACCCUUCGAGGAAGUCACGGCUAACUACGUGCCAGCAGCCGCGGUAAUACGUAGGUGACGAGCGUUAUCCGGAAUGAUUGGGCGUAAAGGGUGCGUAGGCGGCCUGCUAAGUCUGGAGUGAAAGGUACCGGCUCAACCGGUACAGGCUCUGGAAACUGGCGGGCUAGAGAGCAGGAGAGGGCGGUGGAACUCCAUGUGUAGUGGUAAAAUGCGUAGAUAUAUGGAAGAACACCAGUGGCGAAGGCGGCCGCCUGGCCUGUUACUGACGCUGAGGCACGAAAGCGUGGGGAGCAAAUAGGAUUAGAUACCCCUGUAGUC